CUCGGGCGGCGCAUCCGCGGGCCCGGGCCAUGUGAGCGCCCGGGGCUCCGGGAAAGCCAUCUUGGGCGGCUGCGAGCGCCUCAUAGGCUCCCGGGCGGCCGCGAAGGGAUGAUGCUCGCUCGGCUCCCCGCCUGCCCGCCCGUCAGGCGCCCGUGAGCGCCGGCCCCGAGCGCCGCCGGAGCUGCGGCUGCUGCCGGCCCCGGAUCCCCGAGCUGCGGCUGCUGCCGGCCCCGGACCCCCGAGCUGCGGCUGCUGCCGACACCCGGAGCUCCGAUCCCCGGAGCUGCUGCCGGCCCCGCUCGGCUCCCGCAUGAGCCCGCUGGCCCCCGGCACCGCCUGAGCGCAGGCUGGAAAUGAUCCCUCGUGCCUGCAGCUUCACAGGAAAUACCUGAGCAGACCUGGUUUGUAGGAGAGACACAGGUUCCAAGUCCCAUGUAACCACCUUAGAUCAAAGCGUCGUCCCUGGCAGCUCUUGGAGGAGCAGCUGAAGGAUGCAGUGCAGGAGGAGAACUGCCUGAGCCUGCAGCAUGCCAGCGUGUGCCCCCGAGCAUUGCAGCGCGGCCAGGUAACGCACGGCAGCUGUGCCAGCUGUGCCAGCUGUGCCAGGUGUGCUUGGUGUCCCCAGGUGUGCCCAGGUAUGCCCUAAAAGGUCUCUGUGUGCUGCAGUGUGGAUUUCCCUGUCAGAUCUGCAUGGCAGAGUGCUGGGAGGAGAGGCUGGCGAGCCCCACCUCAGCACAUCUGCACCCCAGAUGUGCAGCAGGAGCCAGCCCUGGGCUCUGAUGGGCAUGGCGUGGCCACUGGGAGCUGGG
rnacentral:lncRNA from 1 species